rnacentral:tRNA from 1 species
GCCGGCUUAGCUCAGCUGGUAGAGCAACCGCCUUGUAAGCGGUAGGUCCCCCGUUCGAUUCGGGGUGCCGGCUCC